UUCUUUCCUGCUGGAGCUGUGGAGUGUGACAAUGGUGUUUGUAUCCAAUCCGUCAAACGCCAUUAUCACACUAAAUAGCUACUGCUAGAGAAGCCAUCGGU
rnacentral:pre_miRNA from 11 species